CCUCCCCCGGCGCCUUCUCUUGGGCGCGCGUGCGCCCCCUGCAGGCGGCCCCCGGGAGAGCCUCGCGGGGGAGCCGGGAGCCCGGUUUCCCCGCCAACCCCCAUCCCACCAGCCCCGGCGGCCACCCUGGGGGCGAGGCAGCCCGGCGCGUGGGAGGGGACGGCACGCCAUUGGCUUGUGCGCGGAACCGAGAGGAGGGACCAGCGCGGGCCGCCAGACUCGGUAAGCCCCGGCCGCGCAGGGCGCCGCGCGCAGUCCAGCCGGCCCUGCCCUGCCCUGCCCUGCCCGGCCCCGCGCGGGCGGCGCGAUGUGAGGCGCCCAAGCCCGGAGCCUCCGCCUGGCACCAGCUCCACGCAGCCCGGCGCCGGCACGCGCGAGGCCCGGUCUGACUCGGUCCCCCGCGCUCGGUUCUCUGUCCCCUCCCCCUCCCGCCAUUGUUCCCGGCCGGAGGAGCGCGCGGCGCAAACUUGCGAGUUCCCCCGGUCUUUGCCCCCGCGGGGCCGCGGACUGAGGUGGUGGCGGAGUUCCCGCUGCCCACAAGUCUGGCCUGACCUUCUGGGCCGGAGGACCUGGGGCCGCCUAACGACUCGGAGCUCCCCGCCGGGGGACACCGGCGCUCGGCCCGGGUCUCAGAAAGUGGGUGAGUGUCUGGAGCGGGGACAGGAGGGACAGAUUGGAGGGGGAGGGGCGAGGCUGGGAGAGUCCCUCGUCCCUAGGCUGGAAAGGGGCGGGCAGAAACCCAGGCCGCGCCUGAGCCCAGUUAGGGGGUGGGUAGGGGACGCACAGGUGGAGACGCCCCCCACCCUCCUCGAAGUCGUGCGAUCUGCAGGAAGGGGGCAGUGUGGGGCUACUGGCCGGGCGCUGGGUGGGCUAGGGCCCCUGCCGUGGGCAGAACACUCGCACCUACCCGGUGGAGGCUGUGUGGAGGAAGGGCCAGGACGCCGCGCCCACCCCGGCGCGCCCCACUGGGCGGGGCGGGGCGGGGCGCUCGCCUUGGGUCCCCUCGCUCGGAGCCCCUUCGCCCUGACCCAGUCGCGGGCUUCCGCCUCCUCCUGGAGCUCGGGGGCAGUGGGUUUCUCCUCCGGAGCGAUGGAGGCUGGGGCAAGAGUAUCGCAGAGGCCAAGAACCCCGAGGCUCCUCCAAAGCCCAGAGCGGCUGGCCAGGGCCCCCUCACCACCCCACUAUCCCGCAUUUCCUGGUUGGUUUCUUUCAAACAAACUUCUUGACGGGGCGGGCCUGCGAGGAGAAGUCACCGGGGCUGCCCACCCCAACUAUGUGGUCCCUUGA
rnacentral:lncRNA from 1 species